CCCUUAGAUGUUCUGGGCCGCACGCGCGCUACACUGAUACGUUCAACGAGUCCAAAACCUUGAUUGAUAGGUCUGGGUAAUCUUUUGAAGACGUAUCGUGCUAGGGAUAGAUUAUUGCAAUUAUUAAUCUUGAACGAGGAAUUCCUAGUAAACGCAAGUCAUCAGCUUGCAUUGAUUACGUCCCUGCCCUUUGUACACACCGCCCGUCGCACCUACCGAUUGAAUGAUCCGAUGAAUAUCAUGGAUUGAGGAUGCAAGCAGGUUCGCCUGUCUUCAUCUUCGAGAAGUGAAGUAAAUCUUAUCAUUUAGAGGAAGGAGAAGUCGUAACA
rnacentral:rRNA from 1 species